rnacentral:sRNA from 1 species
CGGUGGGCACCUGGUCCGGGGAGAUGAAGUGGAUGUGCGUGUCCACGCCGCCGGCGGUGAGGAUCUUCCGUUCCCCGGCGAUGAUUUCGGUACUGGCGCCUAUCACGAUGUCCACGCCGUCGGUGAUCUGCGGGUUGCCGGCUUUGCCGAUCUUGAUGAUGUGGCCGUCCCUGAUCGCGACGUCCGCCUUGUAGAUGCCCGUGUAGUCGAGGAUGACGGCGUUGGUGAUGACGGUGUCCGGCACAUCUUCAUCCCGCGUCACCUGGCCGUUCUGGCCCAUGCCGUCG